GUCACCUUGGUCUGCUGGCUGUGGACAGCUGACACUUUCCAUCAUACCCAGCAAAAUAAGCUGUGAGUUUUCAUACAACUGUAAUGAUAAUAACAAACUCACUCUUAUAAUAUCACUGGAUUUUGUAUUACUGAACCUAAAGAAUUUGAACCAGACUAUAAAGAGAUAAAUAUUCUUACACUAUUUAAAUCUUCACUCUUUUCCAUUUGCCAAUUCACUUCUCAAAAUAAAUAUUUGUAAGAAUCUGCUAUAAUAACAACAAACCCCACUAGAAGAAAGAAAAAAUUUCAAGAUAUUUCUGCCUUUGAAAAGAAUCCUUGGAAAAAAUGCAGCAAGAUUUUUCUACAAUUGUGUGUAUUGGGAACAGAUUGUAAACUUAGUUUGAAGAUAAUAGCAAUUUCUUAUGUGAGCAAUCAAGGAAGUAGAGUUAAGGAUCUUGUCUAUACUCAUAACAAACGCCUGCAGCACUACUACUUAUAUUCAUGAUACAGGUUAAUGAUGAUGAUGAUAAUGCUUGUGGUAAUAAUGGUAGCAGCAGCAAUAGUUGUAGCAGAAUUAUAAACAGUGUCCCAGAACUCAUAUGCAGACUUACUGCUAGCAGUAAUAAUAGCUUAACCCCUUUUACAGAAUCAUACGAAAACAGAUGUUGCUAAGAAGGAAAUCCACUUCUUAACUUCUUUCGAUAUUUUUUUCCUUUAAAUUGGGUUUUUGAGUUUGAAGUCUGACGCGUUGGGGAAACGGGAGGUUGUUACAUUCAUAGUCAUUUCAAUAUCGUUAAUUAAUGGAAAAGAUAAUUGAAAUUAUCUCAAAAAUCUCGGUGUUACUAAUUCUUGAAGAGUUACUUCCCUUCAAUAGGUGAUUUAAUUAGUUCAACAUAUGUAUUUGGACGAGGUAAGAAAUAUAGCAACAUGUUUCAGAGAGAGUCAUCAACAAUAGCAGAAAAGAAGUGAGGAAGUUUCCCUUAGACCAAAAACCUGGCCUGAGUUCUUGCAAUAAAAUUAACAUUAGUUAAAGGUACUCCAGGACCAGGUGGAAUUGUAAGACUAGUGGUUCUCAACCGGGGUCUGUAUGGCUCUUCUCGGUCCAUAUAACAAAAAUUGUUAAAAGUUUCUGUGCAAGAAAUUGGUUAUACUUCUACAAUACAUAAAAUAUCCUAACAUUUUUUUUACAAUUCCUGUUAAUAUUUAAUUAUAAAAAUAUAAUGGGAUGUUUUUAAACAUCAAAUGUCUAUGAGGGUCCACCUAAAUUAAAGCAGGGACCAAAAGGGGCCCAUAGUCAAGAAAUGACUGAGAACCACUGAUCUAAACUGUUAAAACAAAUACCACAAGGUAUUUUCUCCUAUGCUACAACAAUUCUUCCAGUUCGCUACCUUGUAAUUUUAUCAGCCCUGCAAGGAUGAAAAGCAAAGUCAACCUCAGUGCUAUUUGAACUCAGAGCACAAAUGGUUGGAACAAAUAUUGCAAGGCAUUUUGUUAUAUUAUUUCAGCGAUAAAUAAAAUACUAACUUAAAUAAAAGGAUUAUUUACAUUAAUACAUAUUCUAGCAGUACAUAUACAGCUAUGUGAGUGUUCUAGAGAAUAUCUAAAAUAAUAAAAUACUGAUUUUAAAAUUGAUAAAAUUUUAGAAGAGCAAACCUUGAUAGUUAUCCUUCCCCCACCCACCCACCAUAAACAAAUUAGCAAGUAAAUAUGAUAUUAAAUUAAAAUAAUGUUGAAAGUUCUAGAUGAAAUAGUGAAUACAAAUUUCUAAAAGGUCAGGUAAUCUUAGAACUUGGAGAAGGUAGAAAUAUUAAUGUCCUAGAAAAACAACUAUAAAUCUAAUAAAGAUAAUUAAAUUUAUGAAUAAUAAAAUGAGAGAAAAUUUAACUAGCUAUAAAUAGAAAAAUAGCUUAAGUUUAGACAAAAAUAUUUUUGUCAUUUCAGAAAAUAUAAAAACUAACAAUAAAAAUUAACUGGAUCCUAAUCCACCAAGGGAAGGUAUGUCGGUAGAAAGUAAUUCAACAACGCGGGUUGAUGAACCGUAAGACGUGUGGCCAGAACC